GAUGAACGCUAGCGGCAGGCCUAAUACAUGCAAGUCGAACGAGAUUAAGAGGCUUGCUCCUUAUGAAAGUGGCGCACGGGUGCGUAACGCGUAUGCAACCUACCUUAAUCAGGGGGAUAGCCCGAAGAAAUUCGGAUUAAGACCGCAUAAAAACACAGGAUAGCAUUAUCCAAUGUUCAAAUAUUUAUAGGAUUAAGAUGGGCAUGCGUGUCAUUAGCUAGUUGGCGGGUAACGCCACAAGGCGACGAUGACUAGGGGAUCUGAGAGGAUGACCCCCCA
rnacentral:rRNA from 1 species